rnacentral:rRNA from 1 species
AUUGAACGCUGGCGGCAGGCCUAACACAUGCAAGUCGAACGAGUGGCGGACGGGUGAGUAAUGUCUGGGAAACUGCCUGAUGUAGGGGGAUAACUACUGGAAACGGUAGCUAAUCCGGCAUACCCUCAGAUGUGCCCAGCUGGGCUUAGCUUGUUGGUGGGGUAACGGCUCACCAAGGCGACGAUCCCUAGCUGGUCUGCGAGGAUGACCAGCCACACUGGAACUGUGACACGGUCCAGACUCCUACGGGAGGCAGCAGGGGGGAAUAUUGCACAAUGGGCGCAAGCCUGAUGGAGCCAUGCCGCGUGGAUGAAGAAGGCCUGCGGGUUGUAAAGUACUUUCAGCGUGGAGGCGUUACCCGCAGAAGAAGCACCGGCUAACUCCGUGCCAGCAGCCGCGGUAAUAC